rnacentral:lncRNA from 1 species
AUAGUAAUUAAGACUCUGCAACUCAAUAAUGACAUUAAUUUUAACAGCGCAUCUGUGAGAUUUGUUCACCAAAGUGCUUUGAUCAUUUUUCUCGGGAUGCACUUCAAAUGGAAAAGCAUAUUGUGGAAGAACUGAGCCCUCUGUCUUCUCCUGUGAUUGCAUCAAGCAAGCCCAAGUUGCCUAAAGCAGAGGAUGCAAGAAAGGAGGGCACACCAGUGUCCCCCGUGGGUAUGGAAAUCAAGAAUGUUUUGAAUGAGCCCUUCUGCCGAAAGUGUAUAUGUCAGGCAAUCGGUGGAGGCAAAGUUCUUGGAUCAGAAAUGAAUGACCCCUUUCACUGGACUCUACACAAUUGGUGCUCACUGACUUCUAGCACAACUGCAGGAACAGCUCAGGUGUUGGGAGUGCAGCGCACUGAAGAACUCCCAUAGGUGUCAAGGAACAUAUGUGCCAUCACAACUUUCCUCACUGUGCCUCUUUCCGGUGGCAUCCAUUCGCUUUCCUCUUUGAUUUAUGGCUAUUGCAAAGAGUCUCAGGGUUGGAAACUUCACUGCUUGUGUUGAUUCAACCUAC